rnacentral:tRNA from 2 species
GGGGGAAUGUCGGAACUGGCAGACGAGCAUGACUUAGGAUCAUGUGCCGCAAGGCGUGUGGGUUCGAGUCCCACUUCCCCCACCC